rnacentral:rRNA from 1 species
UAAGGAAUAUUGGUCAAUGCCCGGAAGGGUGAACCAGCCACGCCGCGUGGAGGAUGAAGGCCCUCUGGGUUGUAAACUUCUUUAGAGUGGGAAGAAAGUGUGAUACUAGUAUCAUUUUGACGGUACCACUAGAAUAAGCACCGGCUAACUCCGUGCCAGCAGCCGCGGUAAUACGGAGGGUGCGAGCGUUAUCCGGAAUCACUGGGUUUAAAGGGUGCGUAGGCUGUUAGAUAAGUCAGUGGUGAAAUAUUUUCGCAUAACGAAGAAACUGCCAUUGAUACUGUUUAACUAGAAUUGGGAUGAGGUGACUGGAAUGUGACAUGUAGCGGUGAAAUGCAUAGAGAUGUCAUAGAAUACCGAUUGCGAAGGCAGGUCACUGGCCCUUGAUUGACGCUGAGGC